AACCUCUUCCUUCUUUAAUCCGGUGUCCGAGGAGUUUUGUCUGCGACUCGUCCUGCUACAUUUCUUGGUUACAAAAACCUCUUCCUUCUUUAAUCCGGUGUCUGAGGAGUUUUGUUUGCGACUCGUCCUGCUACAUUUCUUGGUUCCGUGACCGGGAAGCGAGGUGAUUGAAGGACGGUCGAGGCAGCCCCUUAGGCUGCUUAGGCCUGCCCUGUGGAGCGUCCCUGCAAGGGACUCUGGCCAGCUUGAGCGACGGGCAUCCUGAGAGCGCUCCCGGGUAGGCAAUUGCCCUGGUGGAACACCUCGUCAGAGCAGUGUGUGGCAGGCCCCCGCGGAGGAUCAACGUGGUGGCUGAACACCGGGAAGGAACUGGCACUAGAAGUCUGGACGUCUGAAACUUGUAGGCUGCCUGCUAAGAAAGAGUAGACAGACCCAAUGUCCUCCGAUCAGUCUGGACUCAGUUCAUCCUUCCCCUGGUACAGAAGAGCUGCGUCAGUCAUUCUCUCUGUGAUCUACUGAUAAGAGUCCUGGACGGGGAAUUCCAAGGCCAUGGGUCUAUUCCCAGCCUUGCCACUAUGAAUGUGACCUCCAGCAGUUAGAUCCCCUGCCUGCAGCACGUGCUGAUCUCCAAGGGUGAGGCUGGAUGAAGCCAGGGGCUAUGGAAAGGGAGACUGUUUCAGAGGACUUGACACCAUCUUCAGUAAUUUCUCUGGUUCUUGGCAGCUCCAUUUGGCUGCGUCCCUACCCUGCAUAACCCUCCCAGCUAGUCUACUCCAGGGCAGCAUCCAGCUGGUGACCUGAGAGGGCAGUGGCGCACCAGUCUCCAUGAAGGUUGAGCUCCGAUGGCCAACAGCCAUUUCCACCUUGUGGUCUACAACUCUUCAUCCCGACUGCAUGGAGGUUGGUCUCUCUCUUCAGCUGGAUUUAGGCCACCAUCUGAGCCCCCGGGGUACGUUUUGUCUGACCCUGGCGCCAUUCGAACGGUUCUUCUACAGCAUCAGUUCUCUUUCCUGCCACCAUGUGAAGAAGGACAUGUUUGCUUCCCCUUCUGCCAUGAAUGGACAGGGUCCUGCUGUGUUGCCCAGGCUGGCCUUGAACUCCUGGCUUCAAACAGUCUUCCCACUUGGGCUCCCAAAGUGCUGGGAUUAAAGGGGCGAGUUACAGCACCAGGACCUGAAAUGUGACACCCCUGCUCCCCAUUCACCCUCCGCUAUCAGUAAAAGCUUCCUCAGACCUCACCAGAAGCUGGACAGAUAGAUGCUGGUGCCAAGCUUGUACAGACUGCAGAACCAUGGGCCAAAUAAACCUCUUUUCUUUAUAAAUUGCUCAGCCUCAGGGGUCCCUUUAUAGCAAUGCGAGAAUAGACUAACACAGCAACCCAGAAGUUUGUGGAGUGAAAUCUAAAGCAGUGCUUUUAAAAGUGAGAUCCUAGGACCAGCACCACCUGUACCACAUGCAUCACCUGGGAACCUGUUAGAAAAGCAAAGCCUCAGGCUCCAUCCCAGACCACCUCAGGCAGAAGCUCUGGGGGUGGGGUCCAGGAAUCUGAGAUUUAACAAGCUCUCCAGGUGAUGCUGAUGCAUGUUCAGUUUGAAAACAAUGGACCCAGAGAGCCUCUAAAGUGCAACCUGCCCUGACAAUUUUAGUCCAAAAUCUUGCAUGGGUAAUUUAAUCUCUACAUCCUGUGGAUUCAGUAAAGUCCCUUUCUGGCAACCAGAAAGCUCAGUCUCUCUGGAGGCUCUGAUGUGGUCUCAUUUUGAGCCUAAGAUCAAUCGUGAGACCUUACUCUCCAUCAAGACUGAUUGGGAGACUCAUGUAUGCUGUUCUCAAGCCAAAAGUCAGGGUAGAACUGCUUUCCAUUAUUGAUUACAAAAGAAUCAGCCUUCCAGAAGAUAAAUCUACUCCCUUCAUGGAACCUCCUCAUUGCAGCAGCUGCUUGGGCACUAUUUUCUCCUGUAGGCAGGUAAAAAUAUGUGCAGGCUUUUCUGGCUUGGAUCGUACAGUCUCUUUAAAGCUUAUAGACUCUGAUUAUUAUUAUUAUUAUUAUUAUUAUUAUUUUGAGACGGAGUCUUUCUCUGUCGCCCAGGCUGGAGUGAAGUGGUGCAAUCUCGGCUUACUGCAAGCUCCGCCUCCCGGGUUCACGCCAUUCCCCUGCCUCAGCCUCCUGAGUAGCUGGGACUACAGGUGCCCGCCACCACGCCCGGCUAAUUUUUUUUGUAUUUUUAGUAGAGACGGGGUUUCACCAUGUUAGCCAGGAUGAUCUCUGUCUCCUGACCUCCUGAUCCGUCUGCCUCGGCCUCCCAAAGUGUUGGGACCACAGGCGUGACAGACUCUGAUUAUUAAAAGAAAAUUGGGAGAUCAUCUAGUCGAAUCCUAUUUUACCAAUUAAGACACAGUGGGGAUGGGAGUUAGUUAAUAAUUUUUCCAUAGUAACAGACAUAGUAACACAGUACGUUUGUAGGGAAGCUGAACUCAGACCUUCAGGCUUAUUUCACUGAGCCACGCUACUUCAGGUGUUCUCAGCAAAGCAUGGGAAGUAACAAGUGUUCGAAACCCUAAGACACUGCAACCUUAGUGUAGCUUUGGGUGCCAUCCAUCCACAUUCAGAGAAUUCAGGGUCUACAGAAACAGUGUGGAUUUGGAUUCCUGUUGGCACAAGGAGGCAACUAAGAGGAACAGGGGAGAACAUGGUUUUUCCAGGAAGAGUUAAUGCUACAUAAAUAGCAGAUCUUGCUGUAAAGGUCCUGUCACAUGCCAGGUGCUUUUUUCCUUCAAAAUAACCCUGUAAGGUGGGCAUAAUUAUCCCAUUUUUACCAAUGAGGAAAUGAUGCACAAAGAGGCUGUGUGCACUGAUCGAGCCCAGUGAACAAAGACAGGAUUAAAACAUCGGGCUCUGAUUCUCAUGCUCUUCCUGGGACACCAUACUGCUUCCUGAUGAGUUGGUUUUAAACCCACGAUUGAUCUAUUUCAGUCUCUAAAUCAGUGACUCUUAACCUUGACUGCAGGUUAAAAUUGUGCAGAUCUUUAAAAAAAAACACUAAUAGCUACUGCCCUCCCUUCCAUCCCUAUUAAAAAAGAAAGAAGCUCUGGGAGUGAAACCAGGAUAUUGGUAUUUUUUUUAAAAGCUCCCCCAGGUAAAGUGAAUGUGCAAACAGAAAUGCAAGCCACUUUUACAUGAUCAAUUUGCCUCAAAGUAAUUUAGCUAACCAGGGAUAGAUACUGUUUUUGAAGAUAGUGGUGGUAAUUUAAUUAAGUUACUCAAACUAUGAUUGAAUUAUAUUUAGACACUAGGUAAGAGGGGAAAUGGGGAGGACAAGGAAGAGUUGACUUUUGUUAACUGGUUUGUUGGGGAACAUGCAUGCGAGAUUUGCUGAUUAUCUGCAAUGCAGCUCAUCUGAGGACCAAGCCCCCUGCCUCCACCCGACCCCCAGGAUUCCCUGGAGCACAGUGUUAUUUUGGUGUUUGAGAACUUAUGCAUGUUUAAAAGUAAUUAAAGAAAAUUAAAAGUUAAUUGUUCUGAACAUUAUUUUACUGAGAGAAGAAUUCUCUUUAAAAACCUAACAAGUUUUCUAUUUAAAGGAUUUUGAAUCGUGUUCCUAGGCUAAAGACAGAAGAAAGGACCUCAUGGUAAAAUUUUGGGUCUUGUCCAAAGGGCUUUUGAAGUAAUAGCAUAUUCAUUAAUGUCACAAAUAGAUCUUUAACAGAGGUCUUUCUUUAAGGAAAUCGGUACCUCCCCCACUUUAAUUAAAGCUUCCUGGUAUGAGACAUGCUUUUAGGAAUUCUAGUCUUUUUGGCUUGAUUCUCUCACUCUCUCUCUUUUUUUUUUUUUUUUUUUGGUUGC
rnacentral:lncRNA from 1 species